ACGCACGCUGGCGGCGUGCUUAACCCAUGCAAGUCGAACGGAAAGGCCCUGCUUUUGUGUGGUGCUCGAGUGGCGAACGGGUGAGUAACACGUGAGUAACCUGCCCUUGACUUUGGGAUAACUUCAGGAAACUGGGGCUAAUACCGGAUAGGAGCUCCUGCUGCAUGGUGGGGGUUGGAAAGUUUCGGCGGUUGGGGAUGGACUCGCGGCUUAUCAGCUUGUUGGUGGGGUAGUGGCUUACCAAGGCUUUGACGGGUAGCCGGCCUGAGAGGGUGACCGGCCACAUUGGGACUGAGAUACGGACCAGACUCCUACGGGAGGCAGCAGUGGGGAAUAUUGCACAAUGGGCGGAAGCCUGAUGCAGCAACGCCGCGUGCGGGAUGACGGCCUUCGGGUUGUAAACCGCUUUCGCCUGUGACGAAGCGUGAGUGACGGUAAUGGGUAAAGAAGCACCGGCUAACUACGUG
rnacentral:rRNA from 1 species